rnacentral:lncRNA from 1 species
UUGAGCUUUGAUUUCACGGAGGAUUUGAGUUUGGGAAGUAACAAGACAGAUUUCACAAAAACUGAAAUUAUUUGGGAAGUAACAAGACAGAUUCCAUCACAGAUUUCAAAUCCCUUGGUGGAUUUGAGCUUUGAUUUCACGGGAAGGAGGUACCAAGGCAUGGAACGAGCAGAGAACCAGGUGGUGAUAGAUAAAUAUUGAGGUAGAGUCACACACGUGUGAGCUUAAAGUUUUUGAGUAGCUUAUAGAACCAAAAACUAAAGUUAUAUGGGUCAAAAACUUU